rnacentral:lncRNA from 1 species
CCUAGUUAAUAGAAGUAGCUCGAGAAGCUUCCUAAGUAGGAGUAUAUAUAGGGAUCGAGGCUGAAGAGUUCUUCAGUCUCGACAACACAUCUCUUGGAGUUCUAGUUCACCUUUCUGGUGUUGUUCUUGUACUCAUCUGUUUAAUCUAGUUUUGCCACUUCUUCUUGAACUUCUUGUUAGAUUUCAAGUCUGUAUUUUUUGUUCGUGACAUUGAAGGAUAAGAUAUGGAAGGCUUGAAUAUCUAGUCUAUUGGCACAGAUAUAAUAUCAAUGAUUGUACAUAGGAACCAGUUCGCAACCUUGGAAAUACACAAAUAAAGGUUCAAAAGUUUCAUCAACAACAUCCAUCCUGACCAAAAGUCGUGAAAUGAGGAACAAUAGCUUAGUCAGAUGGCUUCAUCAUGAAGAUUCUUAGUUCUUUGCUUCAUAAAACAGGGGAGGAAGCAGCCUCUGAAGAAGUAGUUUUUUCAAAUUUUUAGAAUAAUAUAAGUUAGUAGUUUGAAUUCACGAC